UUGACCUCAGAUCAGGUAGGAAUACCCGCUGAACUUAAGCAUAUCAAUAAGCGGAGGAAAAGAAACCAACAGGGAUUGCCCUAGUAACGGCGAGUGAAGCGGCAACAGCUCAAAUUUGAAAUCUGGCGCAAGCCCGAGUUGUAAUUUGUAGAGGAUGUUUCUGGCGACGUGCCUUCCGAGUUCCCUGGAACGGGACGCCAUAGAGGGUGAGAGCCCCGUACGGUUGGAUGCCUAGCCUCUGUGAAACUCCUUCGACGAGUCGAGUAGUUUGGGAAUGCUGCUCUAAAUGGGAGGUAUACGUCUUCUAAAGCUAAAUACCGGCCAGAGACCGAUAGCGCACAAGUAGAGUGAUCGAAAGAUGAAAAGCACUUUGAAAAGAGGGUUAAAAAGUACGUGAAAUUGUUGAAAGGGAAGCGUUCAUGACCAGACUUGGGCAGGUUGAUCAUCCGUGGUUCUCCGCGGUGCACUCUGCCUGCCCAGGCCAGCAUCAGUUCGCCCCGGGGGAUAAAGGUUUUGGGAAUGUGGCUCCUCCGGGAGUGUUAUAGCCCGUUGCGUAAUACCCUGGGACGGACUG
rnacentral:rRNA from 1 species